AUCUAGGGACGCGCAUUUAUAAGCGUCGCAUGCUGUCGGGUCAAACCGGUGGUGUGUCGGCGUUGCGGGCUCGGUCCGCUGGAGGACCAGCGUGUCAACCGGCCCGCCCGUCCCCUCCUUCUGGAUUCCCGUUCCUGCUAUUGAGUUAGUGGGGACGUCACAGGGAAUUGUGUCUGGGUAUUGGCCGUUAAAAAGUCAGUGCUCAGGGACAGUUUCUGGGGCCCAGAUCGUUUACCGUGAAAAAAUUAGAGUGUUCAAAGCAGGCAGACAUUAAUCUCUGCCACCGAAUACAUUAGCAUGGGAUAAUGGAAUAGGACCCUGUCCUCCUAUUUUCAGUUGGUUUUCGAGGACCAGGGUAAUGAUUAAUAGGGAUAGUUGGGGGCAUUAAUAUUUAAUUGUCAGAGGUGAAAUUCUUGGAUUUAUGAAAGAUUAACUUCUGCGAAAGCAUCUGCCAAGGAUGUUUUCAUUAAUCAAGAACGAAAGUUAGGGGAUCGAAGACGAUCAGAUCCCGUCGUAGUCUUAACCAUAAACGAUGCCGACCAGCGAUUAGGAGACGUUGAAUACAAAACACCACCAUCAGGCGGGUCGUUCCUGGCUAGUCUCGCGCAAGCGGGGCUGGUGGGG
rnacentral:rRNA from 1 species